CAACCAUAGGCAAAACUGAAAUGGAACAGGGGCAGAAAAUAGCACACUUUUACUCUACGCAACUGUUGCUUUUUCAUGAGUCUUGCUCUGUUGCCAAGGCUGGAGUGCAGUGGCGGGAUCUCGGCUCACUGCAACCUCCGCCUCCCGGGUUCAAGCGAUUCUUCUGCUUCAGCCUGCUAAGUAGCUGGGACUACAGGCACCCACCACCAUGCCCGGAUCUUCAGGAAUUUUACUGGGAUAAUUGUCCAAAUAAAUUGCAAGCAU